AGAGAGAGAGAGAGAGAGAGAAAGAGAGGGAAAGAUGCUGGAGAGACUUCACUCUCCGGAUGAGCCCUCUCUCGGAGUAUCUUGUCUACGGCGAUUUGCUGCUCCAGUCUUGCGCCAAGUCCCGUAGGCGCAUCUCUUUUCGUCAUCUUCCGUUUUCUCUUCGAUUUAUUAUCUCGUUUAUUCAUCUACUUUCUUUUAACACGCGCGAUUUACAUUGAGAAAGAAAGAGUUGGAAAUUGGAAGACAAUGUUUGUGAUUUAGUGAAAUUAUUCGGUGAUCUAUCGUAUCAAGUAUUUCACAGAUUCAUCGUAAGCAAAACGCUUGAAAAUUUGCAUCGCAUGAAACGAUAAAGUUUAAAACAACGGAGAGUGGUUGGUAAGGUGUUUUGUCCCAUACAAUUUCUCUUAGAGUGAUUCAGCUUUGAACACCUGUCUGUGUAUAUGUGUAUGUGUGUGUUAUUCAAGUUGAUAUCCUUUUGAAUAAAAGGACAUUAACGAUGAUGGGAUUGUACGUGAUUAAGUGCCAAAGAAGAGGACGAUGAUAAUCAUUUUAAUAAUACUCUACACACGCCUGCCUGACUGCUUGACUGCCUGUCUGCCUGCAUGCCUGCCUGUCCAAGGACUAUCAACGACGUUUGAUCUUUGAAAAGGACAUCGAACAUGCGUGUUAAUAAACUUAUCCUCUUUUAUGAUCUAUCGAAAGCUUAACUCACGAAUCGGACAUCUUUUUCUUUUUCUUUGAAGAUUGAAAGAGAAGGAAGAAAGUGAAGAGAACAAAAUAUAGGAAAAGGAAU